ACGCGGUUUAACACUUUCCUUUUUUGUUUUCGGAAACGAGGACGGAACCUAUAGAAACCUGUAUUGGUUUAGUUCUCGCUUGUUUAACACUUUCCUAACUUCAGUAAUUUGGUAUAGAUCUGAGAAAUAGAAAUUCGAAAGGAUAUAAAUGGAGGAAGAACUAAGAUGAGAUGAUGGUUGUGAGAGCCAAGCGAGAUGAUAGCAAAACGCGCUCGAAGUUUGGAAGAGAGUGAAGCAGCAGACGAGUGCAAGAGACAGAGGAUGGAGAUUACUAGUAGUAAUAGUAUUGAACAACAAUCAGGAGAACCUAAUUUUCCUCCCGAAAUGGUGUUGGAGAUAAUCAACAGAAUUCCAGUCAAGUCAGUGAUCAGAUUUGGUAGCGCAAGUAAAUACUGGAUAUGACCUUGUUUUGCUCAAAGAGAAGGAGAGAUAACACAAACACUGAAGAAAGAAUGCUAAUGUUUCUUUGCUUGCAAAAUGGGUGUGAAUGUGGAAGGAUGGCACAGAAGUUUCUUCCAGAGAUUUGGGUCGAGGAGCUUCUGAGAAAGCUGAUGAGACCGUUUUGGUUUGGAGUUCGAAUAGCCAGUAUUUGGGAUGCUAUUGAAGAUAGGCCAACAAGCUCGAAGUUUUGUGCUGGUAAUUAUUCUUAUCAUUCAUGAAGUUCUCUUCAGUUUUGCGUGGAACAUCAUUUUCUGGAGGGAAUUUUAAGGUAUGGAGGGUUCUUUUCUACUUUGUCGAUGCUUACCUGAAUCUGAUUCAUUCCGUGGAACCGUCACUUCCAUUUGUUGAAUGAGAUUCUAACAGUAACAGGUUAGUGUUCAGCUCUCUGCCAAUAUCUUAUAGAUUAACAAUUCUGACGGAUGAUCAACAAAAAGAAGUUGAUAUGAUUCACAUCAUCUCUGGUUCUUUCUUUUGUUAUAAAGGAUAUGACCUUGUUUUACUCAAAGAGAAGGAGACAUAACGCAAACACUGAAGAAUGCUAAUGUUUCUUUGCUUGCAAAAUGGGUGUGAAUGUGGAAGGAUAGUACAGAAGUUUCUUCCAGAGAUUUGGGUCGAGAAGCUUCUGAGAAAGCUGAUGAGACCGUUUUGGUUUGGCAUUCGAAUAGCCAGUAUUUGGAAUGCUAAUAGGCCAACAAGCUCUUGGUGCUGGUAAUUAUUCUUAUCAUUCAUGAAGUUCUCUUCAGUUUUGCGUGGAACAGCAUUUUCUGGAGGUGCACUUUCUGGAAGGAAUUUUAAGGUAUGGAGGGUUCUUUUCUACUUUGUCGAUGCUUACCUGAAUCUGAUUCAUUCCAUGGAACCGUCACUUCCAUUUGUUGAAUGAGAUUCUAACAGGUUAGUUUUCAACUCUCUGCCAAUAUUUGGUGCAGAGUUCCUGAUUCCUUAGAUCCAAAUUCGAAGCUCGACUGCAGUUCAUGAUGUGACCUUUACAAACUAGAUGUUAUGAGAGAUGAUUAUUCUUUUUUUCUAGGUAUGUACUUACAGGUAGAUGGGCCAUAGAUGUUACUAAUGCAGCUAUCAAGAAAUUAUUCGAAACUUGGAAACUAAAAUUUCCUCCUUAUAGGAACGAAAGGUGUGACUACUUUCACAAACAAUCUCGUGAGUGGGAAUUCAAUCUAUUGAAAAUUCUGCAGGAGUAGAAGAUGGUUUUUAGCAGUGAUUUAGAGUUGCCCUGUAUUCAGUAUUGUUAUAAUCGAGCUAUACACAGUUCUUCAUGAAAGUCGCGUUUUGAGGUCUGUUAUGAUUUUGUUCCAAACUCGCCUUUUGACAUUGUGCUUUCAGGAAGUGCAGUAGGUAAUAAUUUAAAGUUCGAAGAAGUUGCUGCAGAGAAGUUUGUUCAUUGCAUACAACAGAUUCAUGGGAAGGUUCAUGAGAAUUUGAAAAAACCCAUAACAAGUACAAGGAGCGACAUGACAUUUCAGGUUGGAGAUUCGGUGAGGUUUGAUCUCCGCAAAGAAGAGAUCAGAAGUUUGAUCAACCAAACUGGUUUUUGAUGUUUUCUGGUCAUGUGCUUGCCGAGGUUGGGAGCAACGCAAGUAGUAAAAGAGCGAGUCACAAAUCAUUUUCUAGUUUUUAUUUGUGCCUCCUUGAGCGAACGGAUUAUAAGUUGUUCUUCUCAAGGAGACUGUUGUCUACUACAGGUCGGGGGGAUUUAGAAAUAUAUUAACCACGCUCACUCAGACGCUUCUCAAGAAAGAAAUAAU